CCUACGGGUGGCAGCAGUGAGGAAUAUUGGUCAAUGGGCUUACGCCUGAACCAGCCAAGUCGCGUGAGGGAAGACUGCCCUAUGGGUUGUAAACCUCUUUUGUCAGGGAGCAACGCCGGCUACGUGUAGCCGGACUGAGAGUACCUGAAGAAAAAGCAUCGGCUAACUCCGUGCCAGCAGCCGCGGUAAUACGGAGGAUGCGAGCGUUAUCCGGAUUUAUUGGGUGUAAAGGGUGCGUAGGCGGAAUGCCAAGACAGCGGUAAAAUCGCGGGGCUAAACCUCGCGCCGCCGUUGAAACUGGCGGUCUUGAGUGGGCGAGAAGUAUGCGGAAUGCGUGGUGUAGCGGUGAAAUGCAUAGAUAUCACGCAGAACUCCGAUUGCGAAGGCAGCAUACCGGCGCCCAACUGACGCUGAAGCACGAAAGCGUGGGUAUCGAACAGGAUUAGAUACCCGAGUAGUC
rnacentral:rRNA from 1 species